rnacentral:misc_RNA from 1 species
UCGAAUUCCGAGUCUGGAGUGGGGAAGACGCCGAGUGGAGACUGUCGCUGGCCUCAAGGGGCAUGUCGCACGUCUUCCCUUUUCGUCGACCUUUCUCCUUCUCUCUCACACACACACCUGUGCACCCGUUGUAGGUCCUCGAAAGAGGAUCUAUGUUUUUUUCAUAUCACACCCCGUCGUAUGUCCAUAGAAUGUAUUGAAAACGUCGACCUGUCUCGGCAGGCCUGGCGGUUCAUAAAUCCAUA